rnacentral:rRNA from 1 species
GGGGGGGGGGGGGGGGGGGCGGAGCACAUGCAAGGCGAACGGAAGGGCCCUGCGGGGGUGGGGUGCUCGGGGGGCGAACGGGUGAGUAACACGUGAGGAACCUGCCCUUGACUUUGGGAUAACUUCAGGAAACUGGGGCUAAUACCGGAUAGGAGCUCCUGCUGCAUGGUGGGGGUUGGAAAGUUUCGGCGGUUGGGGAUGGACUCGCGGCUUAUCAGCUUGUUGGUGGGGUAGUGGCUUACCAAGGCUUUGACGGGUAGCCGGCCUGAGAGGGUGACCGGCCACAUUGGGACUGAGAUACGGCCCAGACUCCUACGGGAGGCAGCAGUGGGGAAUAUUGCACAAUGGGCGGAAGCCUGAUGCAGCAACGCCGCGUGCGGGAUGACGGCCUUCGGGUUGUAAACCGCUUUCGCCUGUGACGAAGCGUGAGUGACGGUAAUGGGUAAAGAAGCACCGGCUAACUACGUG